rnacentral:tmRNA from 1 species
GGGGCUGAAAUAGGUUCGACAGGAACGUCGUGACCGGCGUCAGCAGGCGGAGUUGCGAGCACUCCUAAAACGAUCGCAACGGCAAUAUCUGCCAAUAACGAAUACGCACUGGCUGCCUAAUCUAGGCUAGUCACCGGACGCGGAGAGUCGGCCCGAACCACUCCGCACUCCGGUCACAAACUCGGGCUGGCACGGACGCGUGAUUCGACGCACGUGCGAGAUCAAAGAAUCUGCAGCGAACGGUAAGCCGCGCUUCGGGGCGUCCGUGCGAUCAAGAUAAAUCCGAAGCUGAGCCUGGAGAACGCGCCCGUUAGGCGUCUUGGACUCGGGGGGCGGUACCCCGACAGCUCCACCA